UUGUGGAACUGCGUGUUUUCUUUCACUAGUUAUAGUCCUCCAUGUAAGAAUCAAAUAGUGAAUCGAACUUUUAAAUGCUGAAUCUUGCCUUUGAAUAAUACAUGUAUUUUCUUUCCUUUGGAUCUGAAUAUGCUCAAUUCUCUUUUUUUUUUUUUUCCUUCUGGUCUUCGUAAUUGUGAUGCUUAAGAGCGUGGAGAGGUUCUCGCCAUCAUGUGUGCACGAUAGUGGGAGGUGGCUCGAGUUAUGCGUGCUUUUGAGCACCUAAUCGCAGCUUGUAAGUUUCGUAUAGUUGCAAAUGAUCUAGUUUCUCGAUUUCAUGCAAUACCCAAGUUACGUGUUUGCAUUUUGAAACUAUACCAAUGUUGGUCACAGCAACUAUAUAUUCCAGGUGAGCGCCGAUGAAAUAUUACAAACUAUGAAAGGCCACAAACUAUAAGCUGAUGUUAUCUUCUGUUAUAAAUGCAAGAUCGACGGUAUCUUAUCCUCUGUCUUUCUACCUCCUGCAGCAUUUGGUGAGAUGCAUAACACAUCUCUAGGAGGCUUUAGUUAUAGAUGGAAAGCUUCAGAGUGCAGAGAUUGAUGAAUUCAUAUAUCAUGAGUCCCUAGUUCAUCC